CCUGCGCCUGCGCCUGCGAGCUAGUGGGAGGGCGGUUCUCAGUCCCGCGGGGUGUGGAAGCCGGCGCGGAGACGGAGUCUGGCUAUGUCGCCCAGGCUGGAGUGCAGUGGCGCGAUCUCGGCUCACUGCAGCCUCCGCCUCCCGGGUUCAAGCGUUUCUCCUGCUUCAUCCUCCUGAGUAGCUGGGACUACAGGCGCGUGCCACCAAGCCUGGCUAAUUUUUGUAUUUUUAGUAGAGACAGGGUUUCACCAUUUUGGCCAGGAUGGUUUUGAUCUCUUGACCUCGUUAUCUGCCUGCCUAGACCUUCCAAAGUGCUGGAAUUACAGGCGUGAGCCACCGCGCCCGGCCACAACCAGUAUUUCUUGCAAAGCAUAAUACAACUUUAUGUAGUAUUAUGUUUUGAGUGGAAUAAAAAUUCACAAUUGUCAAAGAACCUUUUUGUCGCAUUUCAUUUUACAAUAUUAUUAAAGAAAUGAGGCAAGGAAGAGAUGUUUUAUUGGCACUUUCUAAUUGAUUAUGUCUUCCACUCUUUCUAAUGAAAGGGGUUAUUUUAACACAGCAACAUGAUGAAAGAAAGCCCUAGAGAUGAGUAGAAAUGAAUAGUGUUGAGCUUUUCCAUCCUUCCUGCUUUGCAGCCUGGGGAGUAAAUUUCAGUCCAAGUUACUUCAUUUUGCAGCAAGACAAUUUAAUGAAGUCCACUAGUAGUUUGCUGCUUCAUGAGGUUCUACUGUCAGCUUUGACUUUUGGUACAAUUAAGGAGCCACAAAGUCCCUGGAGUAGAUUAUGAAACUUCUUACCCUUACUCUUAUAAUGUCAGGCUUGAGGAUUUAAACCAGUUUCCCUGUUUCCUUGCACGGUGUUAAUAUACUUGGUUUGCCUCCAAUCAAGUUUUUUUUUUUUCCUUUUUAAAAUCCUCCUUCCCUUAGUGGGAAUAGAUGUUUAAAAUUCAGUGUUCUUGCUUGAUGACUUGUGAUGUAUAUAAAAAAACUCGAUGUUCAUUAAAAAGCUAGCAAACUUUGGCUCAAAGAAAAUGUUGCAUUUAUAGCUAGUCAGUGAAUCUCCUCUGGCCUCAAUUUCCCCAGUUCCACAACACAUUUCUCUCCUUGGGGUGCUGCAAGCGGUUAAUUAAUUAAGAUUUGUAAAAGGCUUUGAGGAGUAGGGGACAAAGUAUUAUUAGGGUCUC
rnacentral:lncRNA from 10 species